AUUCAGUGGGGCACGGGUGAGUAACGCGUGGAUGAUCUACCUAUGAGAUGGGGAUAACUAUUAGAAAUAGUAGCUAAUACCGAAUAAGGUCAGUUAAUUUGUUAAUUGAUGAAAGGAAGCCUUUAAAGCUUCGCUUGUAGAUGAGUCAGCGUCUUAUUAGCUAGUUGGUAGGGUAAAUGCCUACCAAGGCAAUGAUAAGUAACCGGCCCGAGAGGGUGAACGGCCACACUGGAACUGAGAUACGGUCCAGACUCCUACGGGAGGCAGCAGCUAAGAAUCUUCCGCAAUGGGCGAAAGCCUGACGGAGCGACACUGCAUGAAUGAAGAAGGUCGAAAGAUUGUAAAAUUCUUUUAUAAAUGAGGAAUAAGCUUUGUAGGAAAUGACAAAGUGAUGACGUUAAUUUAUGAAUAAGCCCCGGCUAAUUACGUGCCAGCAGCCGCGGUAAUACGUAAGGGGAGCGUGUGUUG
rnacentral:rRNA from 1 species